GAGGUUUCUUUGAAUUCCAAAAUUGCCUGGAAACUGAAAGUAGAACAAAUGGACACGUGACCACCCAAUAUUUAGGUUGUGACUCCCAGCUGGCGUGACUCUGAGCUAAGUGCUUUUGCUACAAUCACAAACAGAAAGUUUCAAGUUGCUUGAAGCUAUUGACAUCACAGAUACCUAGAGUCCAUAUUUUCACUAGUAAAUCUCAGUGGUGAAAGUGAACUCCCUGAUGCACAGGACUCUGGAAUGAGCUCUAGCUUCAUGUCUUUAGUUCAAACAUAAAGAAAUAAGAAGCUAAUACAUGUUGACUGAAUGCAUCAAUGCAGAAUUCAACAUAACCACUACUUAUUGAGCACGUAUGUGCCAGGUAUGGUGCCAGAAGAAUGUGUGCCCAGGAAUGAACAACUUACUCCCCACACUUGCCACCCAAAGAUGAGAAACUAACACCGUCCAUGAUUCCA